GAAUUCAAGACCUACUUUUCUACCAACAGCA
rnacentral:snoRNA from 1 species